rnacentral:rRNA from 1 species
GAUGAACGCUGGCGGCGUGCCUAAUACAUGCAAGUCGAGCGAACAGACGAGGAGCUUGCUCCUCUGACGUUAGCGGCGGACGGGUGAGUAACACGUGGAUAACCGACCUAUAAGACUGGGAUAACUUCGGGAAACCGGAGCUAAUACCGGAUAAUAUAUUGAACCGCAUGGUUCAAUAGUGAAAGACGGUUUUGCUGUCACUUGUAGAUGGAUCCGCGCCGCAUUAGCUAGUUGGUAAGGUAACGGCUUACCAAGGCAACGAUGCGUAGCCGACCUGAGAGGGUGAUCGGUCACACUGGAACUGAGACACGGUCCAGACUCCUACGGGAGGCGGCAGUAGGGAAUCUUCCGCAAUGGGCGAAAGCCUGACGGAGCAACGCCGCGUGAGUGAUGAAGGUCUUCGGAUCGUAAAACUCUGUUAUUAGGGAAGAACAAAUGUGUAAGUAACUAUGCACGUCUUGACGGUACCUACUCAGAAAGCCACGGCUAACUACGUG